rnacentral:lncRNA from 10 species
CUCACAUACUAACUGGUUUGAAUGCAAGGGGAAAGAGAGAAAAUUACAUCUGAGGUGUAUUUUAGUCCAUGCUGGGGCAAGGCAGGGAUGCAGAAGUGUAUUUCUCUACUUCAUCCUUCAUCCAGCAGAGUUGGACAAGGAUUCUUCUGGAGUUUAAGGUUGCCUGGAUGAGGAGUGGGGUAUGUAAAAGUUUAGCAACCAGCUUUCAAGUGAGUGAAGACCAACAGCAAUGGGCUCUGCAGUAGAGAUUCAUCCUCCAUUUUGACUGCACACAGUAUCUUUUGAAAACCACUCCUGUAUUUUCAUUUUCCUCACAUUAUGAGCACACCUCCUCU